AUUGAACGCUGGCGGCAGGCCUAACACAUGCAAGUCGAGCGGAUGAAGGGAGCUUGCUCCUGGAUUCAGCGGCGGACGGGUGAGUAAUGCCUAGGAAUCUGCCUGGUAGUGGGGGAUAACGUCCGGAAACGGGCGCUAAUACCGCAUACGUCCAGAGGGAGAAAGUGGGGGAUCUUCGGACCUCACGCUAACAGAUGAGCCUAGGUCGGAUUAGCUAGUUGGUGGGGUAAAGGCCUACCAAGGCGACGAUCCGUAACUGGUCUGAGAGGAUGAUCAGUCACACUGGAACUGAGACACGGUCCAGACUCCUACGGGAGGCAGCAGUGGGGAAUAUUGGACAAUGGGCGAAAGCCUGAUCCAGCCAUGCCGCGUGUGUGAAGAAGGUCUUCGGAUUGUAAACUACUUUAAGUUGGGAGGAAGAGCAGUAAGUUAAUACCUUGCUGUUUUGACGUUACCAACAGAAUAAGCACCGGCUAACUUCGUG
rnacentral:rRNA from 1 species